UCAGUCUGUCUUGGGUGGCGUUGGAGGACCCGCGGGCGUCGCCAGAUUCAAGCCAGCUGCGCCGGACCCGCGAUCGUCCAUGGCCCCACCCCCACUGCUGCAGCGCGUGGUGGCUCUUGCCGCUGCGUACAGCUACCCCUUCCAAUUGCCGCUGAUUGCGGUCCGGACUUCAA